AUUAAACGCUGGCGGCAUGCCUUACACAUGCAAGUCGAACGGUAGCGCGGGGCAACCUGGCGACGAGUGGCGAACGGGUGAGUAAAGCAUCGGAACGUGCCCUGGAAUGGGGGAUAACGUAGCGAAAGUUACGCUAAUACCGCAUAUUCUGUGAGCAGGAAAGCAGGGGAUCGCAAGACCUUGCGUUCUGGGAGCGGCCGAUGUCGGAUUAGCUAGUUGGUGGGGUAAAAGCCUACCAAGGCGACGAUCCGUAGCGGGUCUGAGAGGAUGAUCCGCCACACUGGGACUGAGACACGGCCCAGACUCCUACGGGAGGCAGCAGUGGGGAAUUUUGGACAAUGGGGGCAACCCUGAUCCAGCCCAUUGUC
rnacentral:rRNA from 1 species